rnacentral:misc_RNA from 1 species
UUUCCGUAGGUGAACCUGCGGAAGGAUCAUUACCACGAUAAGGUGGAGCGAGGCGGAGCGAGGGGCGUAGCCCCGUAGCGACGCCGAGCCGAGCCGAACAAAACCCCAUUCCGCUGGCCUGGCCUUGCGCCGGGCCCAGCAGUGAACCCCACGUUACACAGCGCUCCCAGCUGAGUGGGCGGGCAGCCAUGCCUGCGGCUGGUAUCUGCAGCGCUCUAUCAAAUUCCUCCCACACAAUCCACACACACCCAAUCAAACCAAACGCCUCGGCAUACACUGGCGGUGGGACACUCUCCCACCCGCCUACUAUACAAAACGCUUACAACUUUCAGCAACGGAUAUCUUGGCUCUU